rnacentral:rRNA from 1 species
GGAAUAUUGGACAAUGGGCGCAAGCCUGAUCCAGCCAUGCCGCGUGCAGGAUGAAGCAUCUAUGGUGUGUAAACUGCUUUUAUACGGGAAGAAACCCUGGCUCGUGAGCCAGACUGACGGUACCGUAAGAAUAAGGACCGGCUAACUCCGUGCCAGCAGCCGCGGUAAUACGGAGGGUCCAAGCGUUAUCCGGAAUCAUUGGGUUUAAAGGGUCCGUAGGCGGCCCUGUAAGUCAGUGGUGAAACCUCCCGGCUCAACGGGGAAACGGCCAUUGAUACUACUAGGCUUGAAUUAUUAGGAAGUAACUAGAAUAUGUAGUGUAGCGGUGAAAUGCUUAGAUAUUACAUGGAAUACCAAUUGCGAAGGCAGGUUACUACUAAUUGAUUGACGCUGAUGGACGAAAGCGUGGGGAGCGAACAGGAUUAGAUACCCCUG